AUCUUAGUAAGCUGCGUCAAAGGGUUCAUGCCAAUUUCCAUUAUUUGACCAACCAGAAAGAAACAAGCAUUUGUUUGAAUUCAUUUAAACAGAAGGAUUCCUUUCAGUUCUCUGCACUAAAUCAUGUUCCCGACAAUCAUUGGAAUUUUGAGUACCCAUGAUGGAUACGUUACGUUUGACGAAAUUUACAAGAAAUUGAAAAGCUGUUAUUCAGAACUCGCAUCCAAAUCUUUAAAUCUGAAAAUGGACAUUUCCGCAAAUCUGGAUCGUGGUUGCAAGCUAGGACUAAUCAAAAGAUCUUCAGGAAUGUUCGAGUUAGCUCUGGAUCCCAAUAGCGAAGGAGAUGUAAAUUUUCAGUCUAAAUUGCAAGCAAUUUUGCAUGAGCUAGAAUCACUCAAAACUUCUCGAAAAAACAAAAUGGCGAACAUCAAGGAUCCUUCUCGAACUAGAACUCCAGCAAAUCUUCAAGAUGCGGGUGCUUCCUCAACAGCGGAUCUUCGAGACACUCCAGCUCUUCCACCGGCUACUCGCCGUAAAUUCACUCCAAUUUUGAACCGCCUGUGGAAAAAGACGGUUGAUUGUGGUCCCGGUUGGAGUCGGCGCCCUCUGGCACAACGUCAAGCCAUAGCAAUACAUCGUCGACAGGCCGCGGAGGAAAAGGUCCGUCAGCGAAUGCGUGCUGCUAGACAGAGAAGAGCGCGAUCCCGUUCGAGGUCACAGUCACGAACACGGACAAGGUCUCGCUCCCGCCAAAGAACUUCCCGGACGCGUAGUCGAUCUCGUUUGUCUAGGAAGCGAACACGAUCUCGCAAUGGAAGAUGCUAGUUGAAAGAAGUUUGCGUGCAAAAAUUCAUGAAUGUAAGUUAAAAUAAAAUUUUACCUAUCUCUAGGAAUAGCUGCCCAUAA
rnacentral:lncRNA from 1 species